UUCCUUGAACCGCAUGGUUCAAGGAUGAAAGACGGUUUCGGCUGUCACUUACAGAUGGACCCGCGGCGCAUUAGCUAGUUGGUGGGGUAAUGGCUCACCAAGGCGACGAUGCGUAGCCGACCUGAGAGGGUGAUCGGCCACACUGGGACUGAGACACGGCCCAGACUCCUACGGGAGGCAGCAGUAGGGAAUCUUCCGCAAUGGACGAAAGUCUGACGGAGCAACGCCGCGUGAGUGAUGAAGGUUUUCGGAUCGUAAAGCUCUGUUGUUAGGGAAGAACAAGUGCGAGAGUAACUGCUCGCACCUUGACGGUACCUAACCAGAAAGCCACGGCUAACUACGUGCCAGCAGCCGCGGUAAUACGUAGGUGGCAAGCGUUGUCCGGAAUUAUUGGGCGUAAAGGGCUCGCAGGCGGUUUCUUAAGUCUGAUGUGAAAGCCCCCGGCUCAACCGGGGAGGGUCAUUGGAAACUGGGAAACUUGAGUGCAGAAGAGGAGAGUGGAAUUCCACGUGUAGCGGUGAAAUGCGUAGAGAUGUGGAGGAACACCAGUGGCGAACGCGACUCUCUGGUCUGUAACUGACGCU
rnacentral:rRNA from 2 species